rnacentral:SRP_RNA from 1 species
GCUGGGCGUGGUGGCGCACACCUGUAAUCCCAGCUACUCAGAAGGCUGAGACAGGAGAAUUGCUUGAGCCAGGGAGCUGAAGGCUGCAGCGUGCAGAGAGCACGCCACUGUACCCCAGCCUGGGCAAUAGAGCAAGAUUCUGUCUCAA